rnacentral:rRNA from 1 species
GGACUACAGGGGUUUCUAAUCCCGUUCGCUCCCCUGGCUUUCGCACCUGAGCGUCAGGUACUUCCCAGGACACUGCCUUCGCCUUUGGUGUUCCUCCGGAUAUCUACGCAUUUCACCACUCCACCCGGAAUUCCGUGUCCCUCUGAAGCCCUCAAGUCCGCCAGUUUUCAGACCACUUUCCCAGUUGAGCCGGGAACUGUCACCCUGAACUUGGCUGACCGCCUGCGUGCGCUUUACGCCCAAUAAAUCCGGACAACGCUUGCCCCCUACGUAUUACCGCGGCUGCUGGCAC